GACGAACGCUGGCGGCGUGCUUAACACAUGCAAGUCGAACGGGAGUAUUGAAGAAGCUUGCUUUGGAAAUACUUUAGUGGCGGACGGGUGAGUAACGCGUGAGGAGCUGUCCUAUGCAGGGGGACAACAGUUGGAAACGACUGCUAAUACCCCAUAAGCCGAGAGGUAAAAGGAGCGAUCCGGCAGGGGAGGUACUCGCGUCCUAUCAGCUAGUAGGUGAGGUAACGGCUCACCUAGGCGAAGACGGGUAGCCGGCCUGAGAGGGCGAACGGCCACACUGGAACUGGGAUACGGUCCAGACUCCUACGGGAGGCAGCAGUGGGGAAUAUUGGGCAAUGGGGGGAACCCUGACCCAGCGACGCCGCGUGGGUGAAGAAAUCCCUCGGGAUGUAAAGCCCUGUUGUAUGGGAAGAGCAGAAGACGGUACCAUACGAGGAAGCCCCGGCAAACUACGUGCCAGCCGCCGCAGUAACAC
rnacentral:rRNA from 1 species